rnacentral:rRNA from 1 species
GAACGUCGUGAGACAGUUCGGUCCCUAUCUGCCGUGGGCGUUGGAAAUUUGAGGAGAGCUGCUUCUAGUACGAGAGGACCGAAGUGGACGAACCCCUGGUGUUCGGGUUGUCAUGCCAAUGGCAUUGCCCGGUAGCUACGUUCGGAACGGAUAACCGCUGAAAGCAUCUAAGCGGGAAGCCCCCUCCAAGAUAAGAUUUCCCUAGAGCUUUAAGCUCUCAUAAGGAACGUUGAAGACUACGACGUUGAUAGGCAAGGUGUGUAAGUGCGGCGACGUAUUGAGCUAACUUGUACUAAUGAUCCGAGAGGC